UACGAAGGGGGCUAGCGUUGCUCGGAAUCACUGGGCGUAAAGGGUGCGUAGGCGGGUUUUUAAGUCAGGGGUGAAAUCCUGGAGCUCAACUCCAGAACUGCCUUUGAUACUGAAAAUCUUGAGUCCGGGAGAGGUGAGUGGAACUGCGAGUGUAGAGGUGAAAUUCGUAGAUAUUCGCAAGAACACCAGUGGCGAAGGCGGCUCACUGGCCCGGUACUGGCGCUGAGGCACGAAAGCGUGGGGAGCAAACAGG
rnacentral:rRNA from 1 species